GACGAACGCUGGCGGCGUGCUUAACACAUGCAAGUCGAACGGAAAGGCCCUGCUUUUGUGGGGUGCUCGAGUGGCGAACGGGUGAGUAACACGUGAGUAACCUGCCCUUGACUUUGGGAUAACUUCAGGAAACUGGGGCUAAUACCGGAUAGGAGCUCCUGCUGCAUGGUGGGGGUUGGAAAGUUUCGGCGGUUGGGGAUGGACUCGCGGCUUAUCAGCUUGUUGGUGGGGUAGUGGCUUACCAAGGCUUUGACGGGUAGCCGGCCUGAGAGGGUGACCGGCCACAUUGGGACUGAGAUACGGCCCAGACUCCUACGGGACGCAGCAGGGGGGAAUAUUGCACAAUGGGCGGAAGCCUGAUGCAGCAACGCCGCGUGCGGGAUGACGGCCUUCGGGUUGUAAACCGCUUUCGCCUGUGACGAAGCGUGAGUGACGGUAAUGGGUAAAGAAGCACCGGCUAACUACGUG
rnacentral:rRNA from 1 species